GGCCCUUCUUGUUGGCUUGAAUCCCUUCUCCGUUAUUGCCAGUAAGUGUUUACGACCCGAGGUGGCGCAGUGGGUUGGCCCGGGUUCUGCUCUCUGGUGGGUCUGGGGUUCGAGUCCCGCUUGGGGUGCCUUGCGGCGGACUAGCGUCCCGUCCUGGGUAUGUCCCCUCCUCCUCUGGCCUUAUGCCCUGUGUUGCCGGGUAGGUUCCGCGACCCCAUAUAGGACAAGCGGUUCAGAAAAUGUGUGUGUAUGUUCGCGACCCUCGCUCAACAUGUUUUGUUUCUAUACCAACUAGGAGAAUAAACAAAAGGCUGCAGCGCCGCGCUGCUCCGUUGGGUGGCGAUAUGAGUCUAAGAAGCACGUGUGGACGGCGGGAGGCUGCGCUCGGCGAGUGAGCUCGAUUCCCUGAGAGAUCCCAUUUUUGGGAGGUCCCAGGUUUCCCCUGAAAAGGGGCUGCGACCGUCGCAGAGCCACGGUGUGAGGGCAGCCGCUCUAGGACGAGCGCGGGACGCACGGCGCGUGCAGAGAUGCACCUAAAGAUACGAAAUAGCGUUGCAGUUCUUAUUUUUAUUUCUGCCUGAGGCGUCACGCGUUUUUUUUUUUUUUUUUUUUUUUUUUUCCUCUUCUUUUCCGAGGCGAGGGGGGGGGGGGGGGAUCAUGGUGCUACUCGCUGCGGAGGAUCACCUGGCCGCGCGCGCGGGUCCGUGCUGGAUCCACGAGCGGGACGAAGCACCGACCUCGUGGGACCGCCGCCUCUCUCUGCGCUUCGGAGCAGCGGAGCCUCUGACUCGGAGCGCGCGCGAGCAGGAUGUCUGGGAAGAUAACGCUCAAGCUAUAAAAGAAGAGGCUGGAGGUUUUGAAGGCCAGGGAACAACUUUUUGGCAUAAAAAUAACGAUAGACUUACUAGCUGUGUUCAGACAUGCCAUCCUUUUAUAUAACAAGCAUUUGUUUCGUUCGUUUUUAAGUUUUCGGUGUUAAUCUACAGCCGGCAUGUUGAGAUACACGGCUUGGUUAGGUCCUAGAAUGGCCUCUUCUUCGGAUUUCUCAACCUUCACCUUCAGUUGUAACGCGAACGACGUGAGAAUUCAAACUGUAUGCAGUAUGUCUGCUUUAUUUUUAAAAAAUAAUCAACAGGUUAUGCUUCAGUUUAGAGGUGAAAAACUUUAAUAAUUCCCACUCAUCCAUUAAAACUAUUUAUCUGGAUAGAUUGAUAUUUCCAGUGAAACUUGUAUCUUAUCACAUUUCAGCAACAUAAGC
rnacentral:lncRNA from 1 species